GGGGUUCUAGCUCAUCGGUAGAGCGCUCGCUUAGCAUGCGAGAGGCACAGGAUUCGACUCCCUGGUACUCCA
rnacentral:tRNA from 1 species